AGGAAAUGGCCAACCUAAUACGACUCCUACUACUGCUGGUUUGGCCCCCACAGCCCACCCAACAACACCCACUCAGCAGCUUACAACAAGCAACCUCACCUUCCCUUCCACCACCACAGCUCCUGCGACAACGAAGCAACCGUGUGAUAAAAAAUUUGAGAACGUCCAAGUGACCUACCAGUAUGAUGAUAAUACUGAAAGAUUUCAUGCAA